ACAGAGGGGGCAAGCGUUAUUCGGAAUUAUUGGGCGUAAAGGGUGCGCAGGCGGUGUUUUAAGUGAGAUGUGCAAUCCCCGGGCUUAACCUGGGAACUGCAUCUCAGACUGGAACGCUAGAGUACUGGAGAGGGUGGUAGAAUUCCACGUGUAGCGGUGAAAUGCGUAGAGAUGUGGAGGAAUACCAGUGGCGAAGGCGGCCACCUGGACAGUAACUGACGCUGAGGCACGAAAGCAUGGGUAGCAAACAGG
rnacentral:rRNA from 1 species